AUUGAACGCUGGCGGCAGGCCUAACACAUGCAAGUCGAGCGGAUGAAGGGAGCUUGCUCCUGGAUUCAGCGGCGGACGGGUGAGUAAUGCCUAGGAAUCUGCCUGGUAGUGGGGGAUAACGUCCGGAAACGGGCGCUAAUACCGCAUACGUCCUGAGGGAGAAAGUGGGGGAUCUUCGGACCUCACGCUAUCAGAUGAGCCUAGGUCGGAUUAGCUAGUUGGUGGGGUAAAGGCCUACCAAGGCGACGAUCCGUAACUGGUCUGAGAGGAUGAUCAGUCACACUGGAACUGAGACACGGUCCAGACUCCUACGGGAGGCAGCAGUGGGGAAUAUUGGACAAUGGGCGAAAGCCUGAUCCAGCCAUGCCGCGUGUGUGAAGAAGGUCUUCGGAUUGUAAAGCACUUUAAGUUGGGAGGAAGGGCAGUAGGUUAAUACCUUGCUGUUUAGACGUUACCAACAGAAUAAGCACCGGCUAACUUCGUG
rnacentral:rRNA from 1 species